rnacentral:rRNA from 1 species
AUUCCAGCUCCAAUAGCGUAUAUUAAAGUUGUUGUGGUUAAAAAGCUCGUAGUUGGAUCUCGGCGGUCUGAGGGCGGUUCGCUUCAGAGCGCUACUGCCCUAUAGACCGUAGUUUUGCCAGAGGUCUCAGGGUGCUCUUAACCGAGUGUCUUGCGAUGCUGGCAGGUUUACUUUGAAAAAAUUAGAGUGUUCAAAGCAGGCAAUCGCUUGAAUACAUUAGCAUGGAAUAAUAGAAUAGGACUUUGGUUCUAUUUUGUUGGUUUCUAGGACCGAGGUAAUGAUUAAUAGGGACAGUUGGGGGCAUUAGUAUUUAAUUGUCAGAGGUGAAAUUCUUGGAUUUAUGAAAGACUAACUACUGCGAAAGCAUUUGCCAAGGAUGUUUUCAUUG